UGUGCAGGGCCGGCAAUGCCGCCUCAGGACCAGCGCAGCAACGAUAGCAUAGUAACAUCGCAAGCACCGCUGAUUGGGAAGCAGCUGUGCUUACAAGCAGGAUGAUCACAUGUGGGCAUCUGCAGUGCCUACGAAGAUGCCUACCCGAGCUACGAGCUACCCGAGCUACGAGCUGCCCAAGCUACGGAAACCGAGAUGGCAGAAGGUGCAAAAUAAACACUAACUGAC